rnacentral:lncRNA from 1 species
UUAUUAUAUGAGUAUUAAACAUGUUCAUUUUUCAAUAAACAACAAGUUGUAUACAAUUGAUUAUUCAUCUAAUACUCUGUGAAUUUUUGACCUUUUGAAGAAGAAUUACAAAUUGUCCUUAAUGAACAUCAAACAAACUGUCACAAUCUUUUUCAUAUAUUGAUUGUAUUUUGAAAGAUUGCUUUUUUUAUAAUUCUUUACAUUGCAAAUAAUUAUAUCUUUCAUGUAUUAUUAAUGCAAAUACAAAAUUAUGACAUUGUUCAAAUAAUUAAUGGAGUAUGACUGAUAUGUUUAUAUAAGGCUGCUUUUGAGCUAAAACUGCCAUGUUAAUCUUUAAUAAAUGAUCUCAAAAGUUAGAAUUUUAUAUAUCGUCUAAACGUUUUGUCCAUUUUUUUAGUAAUUUUGCAAACACCUCAAUUUACAUCAUAAUAUUCAGAUUCUUGUAUUAUUCUAAAAUUGAAAUCUGUUCUGUCUAUUUUAAGAUGUUCUAGCUGGUAUGUGCCUCUGUAUACAACAAUGUACAUAGCAGAUGGGCCUGCACACUUCUUGAUUGGCUACAGGUAAUAUCUUAACAGUGAUAAACAUUAGGAAAUAUCACAAUACACUUAAAAAUUUAACAAGACUUUUAAAACAUGUUAAUUUUCCAACACUAUUUAUAAAAUAUCUUUAGAUGCUCAUUCAACAGAAGAAUAACAUUGAAAUGUGAUUUAAAGACAUUUCAAAAAUAAUAUUAUUGACAAUAAAUCAAUU